GAUUUAUCUCUGGGAGAAGGAGCCAUUUGUUUUUAAUAACCUCUUAGUAACAUGUAACGGUUUUAGCAAAGUAUAAAAUUAUAAUUUUUAACAAACCAUGUGGGUUGUAGCAAUAGGCAUCCCAUCUUUCACUCCUAUUAAGACGGACUCCAUAAUCAAUAAUACCAGUUUUUCCAAAUCCACAGUUGGGCCCCGGUUUCACAAUGGGGUAUCCAACUCUGCCCUUGGCCAUCCACCCAGCAGCGCAGACGUGAAAUCCUGCAAGAGAAGGAAAGGAUUAUGGACUAACCAGUAAACCCCUCAGCUGAGUGAAGGUCAUCUUAACAAAAGUGGCCCCUUCUCAACUGCCCAAAGCCAGUGACUUGGAAUCCUUUGAAAAUGCCAACUUUCUGGACUUGCCUGGUCUGAAGUUAGCCUGGAAUCCCCUAGGUGUCUUUGCACUGAACAUUGAAGGCUUGCUCUCAUCUCUCCUGGAAAGAGCAGUUGUGAGGACGCAAAAUUCACUGGAUGCUCGCUGAGGAAGAAGUGAGCUUAUAUGGGUACUAAAGCAAAGGAUAAUUUCGGAAGACUGGGGGUCUAUGGACGUUCAGAUGCAAAUAUUAAGACAAGGACAAAGAAGAAGAGGAGGAGAGAAGAACAAGGAGGUGGAGGUAAAAUUUUAUUUACUUAACAUCCUUCUCCUCAUCCUACCUCCUUACAAAACGCAGUUCCCCAAAUCUGCCUAUGAUCUGCCUUCCAAGGUUAUUUACAGGUGUUCCCCUAUAUGCAUUUAUUCCAGUCAAACUGCUCCCUAUGCCUGAUAAGACCUGGAAACUCUACCUCCUUCUCCCCAUCCCGUUGUCUCCCCUGACUCAGUGAGACGACCACAGAACUCAUUGUUGGAAACUCAGAGACCACCUGGUUGGCAUUUUACCAGUGUUGUGAAUCCUUGCUAUGCUGUCCCCCUUGUGUUGACCUGAAAUCUUUCAGGUAAGUGAAAGAUUCACUGCACUUAGGUGAGUGCAGCCUUCUUCAAAGAGAAGGAUCUGUAUCAUCAGGGACAGCUUCACUUUUGAAGGAGGAAUCAUUUCCUCCUCCUCUGCCUUUAUGUUCUGUUCCGUUGCUAUGGGCAAGAUCUUUGUGUCUCCUUCCACUCAUCAUCCCUUCUUUUAGUACAACAGGUGGGGCUAAAGGAAGGAGAGGAAUCCAGCAUGUCUCCCAGAUGUCCUUUCACCACAGUUACCAAGCAUCACUAGUGAGAGAAGUCCAAGACUUCCUCCUUGAUUCCUCUCUUGCUCCACUUCCAUGUGGCAGAGAUUGUUAGAUGAUAACCACACCAGGUUCCCUUUCUAUCUGGGCACAGUCAUAGGCUACAUUUCUCUGCCCCCCUCGGCGGGUAAGGUGCAUGGAGUAGAUGGCUAAGUUCUACUUAACAGAGUGUGGGUUAAUUUGAUGUAUACUAGUUUCAGACCAGACCCGUAGGAAUUUCCAGCAAGUAGUCACUCAUUUGCAUCUGAUGACUAAAUGAGGACUUCCAUGGCCCUACCUGAAAGUAUAGUUGGAAGGUAGAAGAGCCCAAUGCUCUGUGUGACCAGAUAGAGAGAAGUGCUCCAGUCAGGAGUAUCAAGCACAAGUUUACUGUGUCAAGCUAUAGAGAUUGGGAUGUACUUGUUAUCUUAAUCAAUAUAAUACCAUCAUAUUGUAUUAG